CACGUCAAAUGCCUUACUAAAUUCAUCACCAUUCACCCAUAUGAUAAAGGAAAGUUACCUAAACCUCAGGAGUAAGGCUGUUGGUUGCUGUGAUUUCCAUUUUUACGGUUUUUUAUCAUGAAACUUUCAGUGAGCUUGUUACUUAAGAGCACGUAAUAGAUCCUUAAGCCAAUGCUGACCUUUGUCCAUGACGGAAGAGAGACUUCCAACAACAAUCUUCUCCAUCCUCAUCUUCCCGACGUACACUCAUCUAGCUUCACUGCUUUUGCUGCUACAACUUGUCUUACUUCACCGACGAGUUGGAACACUUCCGUGGUCGCUACCCUUUGCUGUUACACACCUGCAGUUACUUACC
rnacentral:lncRNA from 1 species